AGCGAACGCUGGCGGCAGGCCUAACACAUGCAAGUCGAACGAACCCUUCGGGGUUAGUGGCGGACGGGUGAGUAACACGUGGGAACGUGCCUUUAGGUUCGGAAUAACUCAGGGAAACUUGAGCUAAUACCGAAUGUGCCCUUCGGGGGAAAGAUUUAUCGCCUUUAGAGCGGCCCGCGUCUGAUUGGCUAGUUGGUGAGGUAAUGGCUCACCAAGGCGACGAUCAGUAGCUGGUCUGAGAGGAUGACCAGCCACAUUGGGACUGAGACACGGCCCAAACUCCUACAGGAGGCAGCAGUGGGGAAUCUUGCGCAAUGGGCGAAAGCCUGACGCAGCCAUGCCGCGUGGAUGAUGAAGGUCUUAGGAUUGUAAAAUCCUUUCACCGGUGAAGAUAAUGACUGUAGCCGGAGAAGAAGCCCCGGCUAACUUCGUGCCAGCAGCCGCCGCCGUAA
rnacentral:rRNA from 1 species